AUUAGAGCAGCAACGUAACAGUGUAGAAAAUAGUCCAUGAGCUAAGUGUGGAAAGACUGCACAGUGAAAAAAAAAAAAAGACAAAAGAAAAUGGAAAAGAAGGAAAAAUACAGAAAACUGCCUCUGGAAAUUAAAUGAGCAGAGAAAGUGAGGCAGUGCACUAUGCAUAGUGACCAUGUCUAGGUAACACUUUAAUGCAAAAGUCCCAGGUGAAAAAGGUGUUGUAUAUAUUUGAAAGAACCAAGUGCAAAUUGCAAAAAUCUGCCCAAUAUUUUACCACUAAACUGCACAAACACUCACACACACCCAACUCUGAGACCUUCGACCCUCCUAAAUCUAUCGCCACUCCUCACACAACUCACCAUCACAGGCCACAAACAACCAGGUUCUAUGUAAUUUAGAAGUAAUUGGGAAGAAAUCAAGUGAAAAUGAGGUAAAAAAGAGCAAAAACGAAGAAAAGAAAAAACUGGCUAGAAGUGCAAAAAAAGGCCAGUUUUGCAAUUUCGAAAAUUUGAAAUUAUGAGGACUGUUUUUUUCAUUUUUUGAGUGAGGAAAUGGGGGAACUACACAAGGAAGACAAGGGAGACAUUAUUUUCAUCUUUGGCCAUUUUUACAAGACUUGGAAGCUAGGGUUCAUCAACUACACUAUUGGAGGAGAAGAUUGGAGGAUUUUAAUGAUAAAUUUUUUAAACCUUUCUUCAAUUCCGUAUUUUGUAUUGCAUACCUAAGUGUGUAGCAAUUAUUAUUCACUUAAAUCUUGUUUAUGGGAAUAUUCAUGAUUAAAGUUUGGAUUAAAACUUUUGUUUUGCUUAUGUUGAAUGGUUUUUGUUUCUAAUGAAAUGGGUCUUUGUUUCUUUAA